rnacentral:rRNA from 1 species
AUUGAACGCUGGCGGCAGGCUUAACACAUGCAAGUCGAGCGGGGGGAGGUAGCUUGCUACCUAACCUAGCGGCGGACGGGUGAGUAAUGCUUAGGAAUCUGCCUAUUAGUGGGGGACAACAUUUCGAAAGGGAUGCUAAUACCGCAUACGCCCUAAGGGGGAAAGCAGGGGAUCUUCGGACCUUGCGCUAAUAGAUGAGCCUAAGUCGGAUUAGCUAGUUGGUGGGGUAAAGGCCUACCAAGGCGACGAUCUGUAGCGGGUCUGAGAGGAUGAUCCGCCACACGGGGACUGAGACACGGCCCAGACUCCUACGGGAGGCAGCAGUGGGGAAUAUUGGACAAUGGGGGGAACCCUGAUCCAGCCAUGCCGCGUGUGUGAAGAAGGCCUUUUGGUUGUAAAGCACUUUAAGCGAGGAGGAGGCUACCGAGAUUAAUACUCUUGGAUAGUGGACGUUACUCGCAGAAUAAGCACCGGCUAACUCUGUGCCAGCCGCCGCAGUAAAAC